CCUACGUGUGGCAGCAGUGAGGAAUAUUGGUCAAUGGGCGCGAGCCUGAACCAGCCAAGCCGCGUGGGGGAAGACGGUCCUCUGGACUGUAAACCUCUUUUGUCGGGGAGCAAAAGACGCCACGCGUGGCGUUCCGCGAGUACCCGAACAAAAACCAUCGGCUAACUCCGUGCCAGCAGCCGCUGUAAUACGGAGAAUGCGAGCGUUAUACGGAUUUAUUGGGUUUACGGGGUACGAGGGCGGAAGAUAAGUUCAGCGGUAAAAUUGAGGGGCGCAACCUCUUCGAGACGUUGAAACUGGUUUGCUGGAGUGAGCGAGAAGUAUGCGGAAUGCGUGGUGUAGCGGUGAAAUGCAUAGAUAUCACGCAGAACUCCGAUGGCGAAGGCAGCAUGCCGGCGCUCAACUGACGCUCAUGCACGAAAGUGUGGGUAUCGAACAGGAUUAGAUACCCCGGUAGUC
rnacentral:rRNA from 1 species